rnacentral:rRNA from 1 species
AUUGAACGCUGGCGGCAGGCCUUACACAUGCAAGUCGAACGAGUGGCGGACGGGUGAGUAAUGUCUGGGAAACUGCCCGAUGGAGGGGGAUAACUACUGGAAACGGUAGCUAAUACCGCAUACCAUCGGAUGAGCCCAGAUGGGAUUAGCUAGUAGGUGGGGUAAAGGCUCACCUAGGCGACGAUCCCUAGCGGGUCUGAGAGGAGGACCAUCCACACUGGGACUGAGACACGGUCCAGACUCCUACGGGAGGCAGCAGUGGGGAAUAUUGCACAAUGGGCGCAAGCCUGAUGCAGCCAGGCCGCGUGUAUGAAUAAGGCCUUCGGGUUGUAAAGUACUGUCAGCGAGGAGGCGUUACUCGCAGAAGAAGCACCGGCUAACUCCGUGCCAGCAGCCGCGGUAAUAC